GGGGGCGUGGUGACAAUGGGAACACGCCGCCUUUGCAAGGCGGAGAUGAGGGUUCAAUUCCCUCCGCCUCCA
rnacentral:tRNA from 1 species